rnacentral:rRNA from 1 species
GACGAACGCUGGCGGCGUGCCUAAUACAUGCAAGUCGAACGCAGUGGCGGACGGGUGAGUAACACGUGGGUAACUACCUAUUAGAGGGGGAUAACUAUUGGAAACGAUAGCUAAUACCGCAUACUAGUAGAUGGACCUGCGUUGUAUUAGCUAGUAGGUAGGGUAAUGGCCUACCUAGGCAACGAUACAUAGCCGACCUGGGGGGGUGAGCGGCCCCACUGGGACUGGGAAACGGCCCAGACUCCUACGGGAGGCAGCCGUAGGGAAUCUUCGGCAAUGGGGCGAACCCUGACCGAGCAACGCCGCGUGAGUGAAGAAGGUUUUCGGAUCGUAAAGCUCUGUUGUUCAGGAAGCGGUACUUAACCAGAAAGGGACGGCUAACUACGUGCCAGCAGCCGCGGUAAUAC